CUUUUUUAACCAUAAACUGUGGGCCACUCAAGCUGCUUCUGGCAUUUGGCUUUUCUAAAUAUCACUGUUACAAAUGUUGACAUAUGGAAACCUUUCCUAUUAUUCUGGAUGAAACUCUACAGGACACAAGGCAAGAAAUUAUUUUGCGGAGUCACAAGGCUUAGACCACUGUACUGUCUUCGGAGGGCAAAGGCCCUCUUGGCCAUGCUAGUCCCACUGGUACUGCUUUUCCAGUGGCUCCCCACAUGCAAAACUGAACCCUGCCUGGUCCAUCUGUCUCUCAGCUCUGCCUCACCAUCCAAACUCACCCCUGACCACUGCUGCAGCACUUUUCCAACAAAAGUGAAUUGACUUUACAAGAAUUUCAACAACGAAAGAUUUAAGUGAAGAAAAAAUGAAGUCAAGGAACAGGACUGCCAUCGGAAUAAAUCUCUGAGGAAACCAUCAAAUAUCUGCCUUGGUGCAUUCUGGGAACACGGAUGAAAGAGAAGCAAGUGGCUUUGGGAAGCUGUGGCUCCUGACCUGGAAAAAGACAAUUGCUCAACACCAUCAGCAUUUUUAUCUUUUCUUCGGCUCAUUUGUCCUGCAGAUCCUCUAUCCUGGACUUGUUCUCUGCUUGGAGAAUAUAUCAAUCUUCAUUAAUCAAACAAUUUAAUAAAA